rnacentral:rRNA from 1 species
UACGGGGGGGGUAAGCGUUGUUCGGAAUUACUGGGCGUAAAGGGCGUGUAGGCGGCCUGUUAAGUCUGAUGUGAAAUCCCCUCGCUCAACGAGGGAACUGCGUCGGAAACUGGCAGGCUCGAGUACCGGAGAGGAAGGUGGAAUUCCCGGUGUAGCGGUGAAAUGCGUAGAUAUCUGGAGGAGGGCCAGGGUGGAAGGCGGCAUCCUGGCCCUGUCCUGACGCUCAGGGGCGAAAGCGUGGGGAGCAAACCGG